UACAGAGGGUGCGAGCGUUGUCCGGAAUCACUGGGCGUAAAGGGCGCGUAGGUGGCGAUCCAAGUCCAUGGUGAAAGCUCGAUGCUCAACAUCGAGUCGGCCACGGAUACUGGGUUGCUUGAGCACUGUAGGGGCAGAUGGAAUUCCGGGUGUAGCGGUGGAAUGCGUAGAGAUCCGGAAGAACACCGGUGGCGAAGGCGGCCUGCUGGGCAGUUUGCUGACACUGAGGCGCGACAGCGUGGGGAGCAAACAGG
rnacentral:rRNA from 1 species